AUUGAACGCUGGCGGCAUGCUUUACACAUGCAAGUCGAACGGUAACAGGCCUUCGGGUGCUGACGAGUGGCGAACGGGUGAGUAAUGCAUCGGAACGUGCCCAAUCGUGGGGGAUAACGUAGCGAAAGUUACGCUAAUACCGCAUAAGCCCUGAGGGGGAAAGUGGGGGACCGCAAGGCCUCACGCGAAUGGGGCGGCCGAUGUCAGAUUAGCUAGUUGGUGGGGUAAAGGCCCACCAAGGCGACGAUCUGUAGCGGGUCUGAGAGGAUGAUCCGCCACACUGGGACUGAGACACGGCCCAGACUCCUACGGGAGGCAGCAGUGGGGAAUUUUGGACAAUGGGCGCAAGCCUGAUCCAGCCAUGCCGCGUGCGGGACGAAGGCC
rnacentral:rRNA from 1 species